GCCCAGGUAGCUCAACCUGGCAGAGCGCCUCAUUUGUAAUGAGGGGGUUGAAGGUUCGACUCCUUUCCUGGGCU
rnacentral:tRNA from 1 species